rnacentral:rRNA from 1 species
UACAGAGGGGGCAAGCGUUGUUCGGAAUUACUGGGCGUAAAGGGCGCGUAGGCGGCCUGUUAAGUCGAACGUGAAAUCCCCGGGCUCAACCCGGGAACUGCGUCCGAUACUGGCAGGCUUGAAUCCGGGAGAGGGAUGCGGAAUUCCAGGUGUAGCGGUGAAAUGCGUAGAUAUCUGGAGGAACACCGGUGGCGAAGGCGGCAUCCUGGACCGGUAUUGACGCCUGAGUGCGCGAAAGCCAGGGAGCAAACGGG